UACGAAGGGGGCUAGCGUUGCUCGGAAUUACUGGGCGUAAAGGGCGCGUAGGCGGAUAUUUAAGUUAGAGGUGAAAGCCCAGGGCUCAACCCUGGAAUAGCCUUUAAUACUGGAUAUCUUGAGUUCGGGAGAGGUGAGUGGAACUCCGAGUGUAGAGGUGAAAUUCGUAGAUAUUCGGAAGAACACCAGUGGCGAAGGCGACUCACUGGCCCGAUACUGACGCUGAGGCGCGAAAGCUAGGGGAGCAAACAGG
rnacentral:rRNA from 1 species